CAAUUUAAGCAGGUCGACCACACCUGCAGAUAGUUAUGAUUGCAGGUGAGGUGUCUKUGUGAAAAGAGACCCACAUACUCGCACGUAAUGUGUUACAGUGGCAGGUCGGUUACCUGUGUUAUCAAAUAUGGUUUUUUUUACAGUUAACUUUGCAGCCAUCUCAGUUGGGGUAUCAGUCGGUGUGGCUCUUAUUGGCUCCAUUGUGUUCAUAUUCUGUAAAAGAAAAGGCUCUCACAAAACAUUACCCCAGAGCAMCAAUCCAGAUGAAAACCCUGCAGCUGAUUCUCCAACAACGACCUACAGUUUGGUGCAGAUCUCCAAACGUCUUGCCCCAGGAGAGGAGAACAGACAUAAAGACAAACCAGAGACAGUGUACGCACAGAUUAACAGAGUACCAAAACCAGACUCUGAAGAUCCUACAGUCAACAGCUGAAAAACAAAUACAGUGGUUUGCAAAAGUAUUCAUACCC